CGUAAUUUUAGUAAAUUUAGCUAAAUUUUUGCUAUAUUUAAAAUAUUACUUUUUCAUCUGAGCCACUCAAAUAUUUUCGCUGAUUUGCAGAUAAAACCGUCAUUUCAUAACCGUUAUUAAACGAUUUGCAGAUAAAACCGUUAUUCCGCCGAAAAGACGUUUUCGGGGGGGUGGUGUCACUCACCCUCCCUUAUAGCUUACGCAGAAUUGUGUUUUAAAGUCAACACAUAGAAAAAUACCAACCGUGGGAGAUCCUUUUAAGUCACAUUUGGGACUGGGAUUUGGUCUAAAAAAUUCUGGGAAAUGGGAUUCAGAGAGAAAAAUUGGCUAGCGAGUGAGAUAUAGGCACAGACCAACUGCAACGGGUCUACUAUAUACAUGGUGUCUAAAAAAAAACGCUAUGGAAAUUCAACAGGCUGUCGUGCAUCAUAAACGUGGCUAAACAAUUCAAUUUUACACAGGACAAAAGAACAGUUAUUUAGCUUUUCAAUG